UGCCAGCAGCCGCGGUAAUACGGAAGGUGCGAGCGUUAAUCGGAAUUACUGGGCGUAAAGCGCACGUAGGUGGCUUGGUAAGUCGGAUGUGAAGGCCCUGGGCUCAACCUGGGAAUUGCAUUCGAUACUGCUUAGCUAGAGUAUGAGAGAGGUUAGUGGAAUUCCCAGUGUAGAGGUGAAAUUCGUAGAUAUUGGGAAGAACACCAGUGGCGAAGGCGACUUCCUGGGCCAAUACUGACGCUGAGGUGCGAAAGCGUGGGGAGCAAACAGGAUUAGAUA
rnacentral:rRNA from 1 species